AAAAUUAUGGAUUCAAGAAUAAUGGAAAGUUAAUUGUUUAAUUUAAAUUUAAAAAUAACAAAAUUUACUAUUAUUUUAUAAUUAUCUGAAAGAUUUUAUUUAUUACAAUCGUGAAAAAUUGAUAUAAAUAUAGAUUCUCAACGAAAAGAGGAAAAAGAAGUAAUAUACUUUGAUACAUGGUAAUUGGAAUAACUACUUUCGGAUAAUGAGAUUUCGAAAUGAAAAGAUGAAAGCUAAAUAUAAUACAGAAUAAAAAAAAUGAAUAGAAAGAAGAGAGUUUUUUUUUCUUUCAAUUCUUUAAAUUUUGCUUAUUAAGUACUAAGUAAAUUAGAAUAUUCCUCAAAGAUGUAAUAAUUAAUAAAAGAACUUGAAAUUGAUGCAUAAAAUUGUUGAUAUAUUGAUUGUAAUGUAUUGAUAUAUAAAUAUACUAAAAAUUAAUAACUAUUUAUGUCUUUUUUAGAAUAAUUUUUAAUUUUUAAAUCAUAUUUAUGAUAAAAUAUUAUUCAAUACGUUGUUAAAUUAAUUAUCAAAAAGUUUUUUUAAUGAAAAUAGAGAUAAUAAUGAACAUAUUCAAAAAUAAAAUUUCAUUCAUUCACUAUCUUCUCAAAGUUACUAAUAAUUGUUAAGUCCUUAAAAAAAAUAGUACAUUAAAAUUUAAGUUUCUUCACCAACAAGGAUAUGGAGAUCAUGGGGAAACAACAAUGAUCGACAAAGAAAAUGAUAAAAGAAACACUACUAACAGCACUGCACUGCAGUGGUAAAUCUCGAAUGAAACUUUCGAUUAAAUAGCAUACUAUACUUGGUGAAGGAAAGAAUGAAACGAACGAAAAGAAAAGAAGAAGAAGAAAAAAGAAGUCAGAAAAGAAAGAGUUAGAUCGGGGUAAUUAAGACAGGAAGCAGUGUCCUCAGAGGAACAUUUAUGAAACAUCGCAUUGCGAUGCAAGGAGAAUCCUUCUCUUCAAAUGAAUUUGUAGGAAGAAGAGAGAAGUCUUGAGAUUUGCAUCCGUUUUUUUUCCUCUUCUUUUUGUUUUCUUCUUUCCUUCUUUUUAACUUUAUGUACCAACCUUUCUGCAAACAAGCAUCGAGAGGUUGAAACGCAAAAUUUGAAUCCCAAAAGGAAAUCUUGAGGAACUGCUUCAAGCUUUCGUGAUUCCACAUUUUAUGCAAUCUUUUUUCUGAUUUUUUUUUAUUUUAUUUUUCCGGUAGAAGACGAUAAUGGUUGUUGCUUUUAUGUUCGUUACUGUAAAAUAAAAUUACGUUUUUUUUCCAGAGAAAUUUUAACUUUUUUAAUUUCGUCUGUUGAAAAUUAAAACACCUAAUGCUUUAUAAUUAUUUAAUUGUUUUCGUUUGAGUUUUUUAUUGUUUUUUAUUGUUAUUAAUUGUAAAAUAUUUUUGUUGACCUAUUUAAUGUAAAGAAUGCGAUAUUAUUGUAGAAAAAUUUACUUAAAAGUUUGUUUCUUUCAAAGUAAAAUUAUUUUUUUUUUAACAAUGAAGAUUGUGAUUAAAUUGUAAAAGACUUGGGGAUUAUUGUAAAAGUUGAACAACUUUAAAGUUAUAAUAAACAUACAACUUGUAAUCCUUUGUAGAAUGUUGGAAAACUUUACUCUGUCUGAGAUAUUUUCAGCGUAUUUCAUAUACUUGUAGUUUUAUAUACAAUAGGUAUUAUGCAAAAAUCUUAGGUUAUUUUCGUAACUAUUUUCAUAAAUAUAACAAGCAAACAUAUUUGAAGAAAAUGUUUCCACAUAUAUGUACAUGUAUAAAAAUAUAAAAAAAUAUAUUAUAUUACAAUAUAUAUAAAGUUUCAAUCCAAAUGAUUUUGAAUAUAAUAUAUGAAAUCAUUUUGAAUGAAUAUCAUAACCUCAAAAAUGGAAAUGUUUAAAAUAUUGAAAUGAGAUAGCACAAACAUAAUAUGAAAUUAGAAUUUAAAAUUAUGAAUUCAAUUUUAAAAAUUAUUUAAUAUUAAUGAAAUUGAAUAUUAAACAAAUUUCUAUUAUUUUAUAAUAAUGAAAAAAAAUUAUGAAUUAAAUAUUACAUUUAACUUAAAUUAUACAUAUAAAUCUUAUUAGAAAUUUCACUAUAAAAAAUAAUCUUUUACCAAUUGUAUUAUAAUUUAUGUAAUAAUAUUUUUGUAAGAAUAUUGUACAAUAUAUAUAUAAUUUAUACAAUAUUUUUAUAACAAUUAUUAAUUCUUUAAUUAAUUACAGUUUAAAAAAUAAUGAAAGAAAAUAAUAUAAAAUAUCUCUACAUUUAAAAAAAAAUAGUUUAAUAAAUUAAAAAUUCAAUAUUUUUGAACGACUUUGUAUCCACUGUUUAUCUUCUAUCAUUAUUUGUCUCUAGCCAUUAUUGUAGGUGGCGGAAGUAGAAAACUAUAGCCUAUAAAAAAUUCAAAUAAAGAGAGAAACACAAUACUGCUGAUCGUUUUAGAAAAGUUAGAAUUCAACGUUAACAUUCUGUAGUUUGUUUACGUUUGGAUUUUCGGGUGUUUUCGUGACAAGCACCAGGAGCCGUAAAUACCAAUAGGUAUUGUUGAAAAGCGCCGCGUCGCGUUUGUUGAGAACGAACUUUGUUGGACAAUUUUUAUACAUAUAUAUGUUGGUAUAGGUAUUUCAGAACGUCACGAACAUUGCAAAUACAUGCACAGUCUAUCUUCGAAAGUAAUGAUAUCCAUUUUAUGACAAACUAUCAAAUCAUUCAUUAAUAUUAAAUCACGAUAUUAUAAUUAUAUAAUUAUAUAUUCCUAGUUUUUUUUUAUAAUCAUAGGUACUCAGAAUGAAAAGAAUGAUAAAUAGUAAUUAUAUAUUAAUAUGUAUGAAAAUAUUUUUGUCUUUCUUUUUUUUAUUUUUGGAAAGAUAGAGUAAAAUAUUUUUUUUAUUUUUAUUCUACAGUUAAAUUCACAGAUAAAAGAUUAUUAUUAAUAUAUAUAACAAUUUUAAAAUAAGUAAAAUAUGAUUGAUUUUUAUAUAUUUCUUCUCUUUAUAAAAUAAUUCAUAUCAUAAAAAAAAGUAUUGAUUAUAGUCAAAAUGAAAAUAAUAAUGAUUAAUAAUUAAUAAUUAUGAAAACGGUUGAAUUGUUGUAAAAAUAAUUUGUUGAUGAAACACACAUAGAAUCUUUCUACAUAAAAUAAUAGUUUGAAUAAAAUUAUUGUUUAUGAUCUUCUAUUGUAUCAAAGAACUCUGUACUGAGAUUAAAUAAAUUUGCAUUGUUUAAUAGGAAACACACAUACGUUUUUCAAUUUAAAAUGUACAUAUCUUUGUAUACGUUCCAAUUAAGAGAUUUAUAAAGAAACUGAUUUGUUGAUUUCACUAAAUAAAUAGUAAUUAUAUUCUCUUUAUAUUUUUAUAUAUAAUAUCACUUUUAAUAGAGAAAAAAAAAUAUAUAUUAAAAUUUAUAUCACUAAAUUAUAUUUUAUAAUAAGAAAAUAUAUUUUGUUACAAACUAAUUGUAACCAAUUUUUUUUAUUUUAUAAUGAUAUAUUUAUAUAUAUAUUUCAAUAAUAUAAAUUAUUUAAUUUUCAAACUUGAUUUUUAUGAAUGAUACGAAUAAAACUUAUAUAUUAUAACAUUAAUUUCCUUGUCACUAGAUAUCUCACUGUUUCUUACUUUUUCUAUUGGUGCUUGUCUCUAUUAUAAUCCUUAUAUGUAUAUGUUAUAUGUAAUUGUAAAUAAUCAAAUUCAUAUAUGAAAGUAAUGUCAUAUUUUUACAUUAAUUAAUCGUCUAGAAAUGUUGAAGACACGCAACAAAAAGUCUCUAUCUCAUCUAUCCAUCAUUUUUCUCUGUCCAGUGUCACGAUGGAAAAUUAUUAAAGACAGCUUAUAAACAAUGAAACGAAAAUUAAUUCAAUGUUUAUCAAAUAACCGAGAUAAAAAUCAAGGACGAAUCAAGGAUAAAAUGAUAUAAUGAAAAAAAUGCCGAAAGGGAGCGUUAGUAAAAGAAAGAUAACACGCGAGAAACACACAAACACACAGAGAAAAAUUAAUGGAGGCUACAUCUACAUCUGAAGGAAUGUAAAAAAAGAAAAUUAAAAAAAAAAAAGAACACGAAUAAAAUAGAGGAAGAAGAGAUAGUGUGUGGAUAAAAAAAAUUACCAGGGAUGAAUAAAAAUGGUGGUAGACGGAAUAAAGAAAUAAAAGAAGAAAUUGGCUUUGUAUAAGAGAGGAAACGGGACAAAUGCGUUUAAAGAGGAGAAGGAGUGGGGGAAGGUGAAAGAGAGAAAGAGGAAUGUGGGGAGUGGACAAAAACAGAAGGGAAGAGGGGAUAGAUGGAAUGCAUUUGCGAUCCUCGGAGAGGCUUGCAAACCUUUCUGGUACGCUAAAUCACCCGAACAUACGGCUUUGCAUCGCGUCGCAAGCAAAGAGGAAAGUGUAUGGUGUGGAGAUCGUCCUUUAUAUUUUAUUCACAUUUCAUUUCACCCUGUUGUUACUAACUUUGGGGGCAUCUUUCUACAUUCCACCGUCACGAUUAUUUCGCGAAAUUGUUUUCUCGAUUUAUCGUGAAUUUCGUUGGUUGGCCAUAUAUAUUUCAAACUUCAAUUAUCCCCUGUGAAUAACAUGUCCUUUCGGUUCUUUCAGAUUUUUCCCUAGGAAUACACCCUGUUAACCAUGUUUUCUCUAGAACGAAUAAAAACUAAUUUUUAUGGAGAGAGAGGGUUGGAAGAAAGACACAGAGGACAGAGCAAUCUUGUUAACUCGUGAAUAUAUAUAUAUAUAUAUAUAUUUUUUUUGGUACAUUUUUAUCCUCUAGAAAUAUUGCGAUGAAACGAUAUUAAAAGAUUUUUACUGCUGGUCUCUGGGUUAUUGUGAAUCAUCUGGUGUUGGAGUAAAUUAAACGUAUCACAGGAAGCAGAUUCUUUUUUAACAUUGGAAAUAUAUCCAGGAAAAUUUCAAUUUAUUGAACAAAAAUAAAAGAGUAUUUUUUGUUCUUUUUAAGGAAGAUAAAAACCACCAGAUCGAAUUGUUUUACUUAUGAAUUUCAAUUGAAUAGAAGCAAGAUAUUUAAAAAUUAAUUAAUACAAUAUUCUUGAACAAUUUUAAAAAAUUUUUAAUAAUAUCUAAUUUUCAUUUUUAAGGAUUUUCAAAAUAAAAGAAAUGAAAUGUAAGAACAAAGAACAAGAAAGUAGUACGUGAGCAAGGAAGGUGGACUUAACAAGCGGCAAAAAGAGUGCGAGGGACUUGUCGUCAAUGCAGGUUAUUGCUACGCCAAGAAGAGGAUGAUUGAAAAAUUUAAGAAGUUGAAAGAAAUGGAAUGUGUUUCAUCUCUUAGAAAAAUAAUGAAAUGAAAAUAUUCUCUAUAUCCAUAACUUCAUACUAACAUCAUAAUAAUUGUAUAACCUCUAAUUUGCUAAUUAAUUUCUCAUUGAUUAAAAUUAUAUUAAAUUAAUUCAUCAAUUAUAUUAUAUUAUAUUAUGUUGAAUUAUAUCAUCAA